AGCUCAGUGACAACAUGAAGCAGAUGUACUGCAAAUUUGGAAGCGGCAGCUGGAUUGAAAACAUCUGGGAAACAGUGCUGGUUUGCUAUGACUUUUGUCUGGUGCCCAGACUACCCAGGUUUUCUCUGUUUCCAUGGUGUUUCUUUCCCACACACCCAGCUUCUUCUAUUUUGAUUUGGGGGGGGGGGUGUGACUGAUGUGCCCCACCUGCCCUUCCCCCAGCUGUUGGGUCUUGGCCCGAGUGCCUUGGGGAACAGCACCUGGCCCAACUCCAGCAGAAGAAGCUGAGAGAAGACUCCAGAAGAUUUUCUGUCUCAUCGGGUGAAAUACAAGUCAAGUGAAGUCGUACUCAAGGAGAAACGAUUACUUUAAGUUGCUCUAUAUUCAGAAAUGUAAGCAAGGGGAAUUUAAAUGGUAUAUGAAGCUUCACAGUCAUUAGAAGAUACAGAGAAAUAGCCAGUGUAAUCAAGGACUGUUUUCAUUGAAAUAAUAUGGGUUGUCUGGAAAUACAGAAUUGAGCCUACCAGACUCAUUCAUGGCUUCCUUACCAGAUCCAGUCUGUGGCUGAAAAGUAAGUAAAAUUGGAGCUUGAACUGUUAUAGCACAUUAAAUCUUCUGUACAACUUGCAAUCAGCAUUAUUGGAACUAGAGGCGGAACCACCAUUGGCCAACGGUUCAAAAAACCCGGGCUGUGCCCAAUCAGAGGCCACACUUUGUGGCUCUGACAUGUCCCCUGCAUUUGACGUCAGACGUGGGGGUGCUGGUUUAGAUUCCAAGCGGGGGCCGCACAGCCCCAGUUCGGGAGUUAAA